rnacentral:rRNA from 1 species
GAUGAACGCUGGCGGCGUGCCUAAUACAUGCAAGUCGAGCGAACAGAUAAGGAGCUUGCUCCUUUGACGUUAGCGGCGGACGGGUGAGUAACACGUGGGUAACCUACCUAUAAGACUGGAAUAACUCCGGGAAACCGGGGCUAAUGCCGGAUAACAUUUAGAACCGCAUGGUUCUAAAGUGAAAGAUGGUUUUGCUAUCACUUAUAGAUGGACCCGCGCCGUAUUAGCUAGUUGGUAAGGUAACGGCUUACCAAGGCAACGAUACGUAGCCGACCUGAGAGGGUGAUCGGCCACACUGGAACUGAGACACGGUCCAGACUCCUACGGGAGGCAGCAGUAGGGAAUCUCCCGCAAUGGGCGAAAGCCUGACGGAGCAACGCCGCGUGAGUGAUGAAGGUCUUCGGAUCGUAAAACUCUGUUAUUAGGGAAGAACAAAUGUGUAAGUAACUGUGCACGUCUUGACGGUACCUAAUCAGAAAGCCACGGCUAACUACGUG